AGAGUUUGAUCCUGGCUCAGAUUGAACGCUGGCGGCAUGCUUUACACAUGCAAGUCGAACGGCAGCACAGGGAGCUUGCUCCCGGGUGGCGAGUGGCGCACGGGUGAGUAAUACAUCGGAACGUGUCCUGUUNUGGGGGAUAACUGCUCGAAAGGGUGGCUAAUACCGCAUGAGACCUGAGGGUGAAAGCGGGGGAUCGCAAGACCUCGCGCAAUUGGAGCGGCCGAUGCCCGAUUAGCUAGUUGGUGAGGUAAAGGCUCACCAAGGCGACGAUCGGCAGCUGGUCUGAGAGGACGACCAGCCACACUGGGACUGAGACACGGCCCAGACUCCUACGGGAGGCAGCA
rnacentral:rRNA from 1 species